ensembl:lncRNA
UAAUAAGCAUUUCACUGUAAGGUCUACUACACCUGUUGUAUUCAGCAUUUCACUGUAAGGUCUACCUACACCUGUUGUAUUCAUCAUUUCACUGUAAGGUCUACCUACACCUGUUGUAUUCAGCAUUUCACUGUGAGGUCUACCUACACCUGUUGUAUUCAGCAUUUCACUGUAAGGUCUACUACACCUGUUGUAUUCAGCAUUUCACUGUGAGGUCUACUACACCUGUUGUAUUCAGCAUUUCACUGUAAGGUCUACCUACACCUGUUGUAUUCAGCAUUUCACUGUAAGGUCUACUACACCUGUUGUAUUCAGCAUUUCACUGU